CUCGCGCUGUCGGGAAGCGCCCGGGCCCCGCCGGCCCGGCUCGCACCUUCGGGCGGUGACACCCCUGGCGGGCUGCGCGGAGUCUGCGCGGACACCCGGAGCCUCCCGGGGACCUCCUCCUCGCGCCCGCGGAGCCCGGAGCCUCCCGGGGAGACCUCCUCCUCGCGCCCGCGGACACCCGGAGCCUCCCGGGGGACCUCCUCCUCGCGCCCGCGGAGCCCCGGCCCAGCGCCGCCCUUGGUGGAGGGGCGAGGACGCAGGAGCGUCACUUUACUGAGCGCUCGCGGAUGUGGGCGCUGUGAUCAAACGUUGGUCCUACUCAUAACCCAUGCCGCUCUCCUUGUGACGUACAUGCUAUUAUUAGCUUUCCUUGGAAGUGAGGAAAUAGCUCGAAAUGAUUGUUAGUUGCUUUAAGCCAAACAGAAGGCAGAGCUGCGAAUCAAACCCAGAUUUGUCUCGACACCGGUGUAUCAAACUUCUCUUGGACCAGCCACUCACACCUUCCUACCCAGCGAGCAGCGAACAGGUAGCAGAUGGGACAGCGCUCCUGGACACAUCUGGGCACUCAUGCUCCUAAACACGUUGGAGAGGAGACCCGCGCAGUCAUUCUAGGCCAACUACUUCUCUGACAGAUGACGAAUUUAAUUCACUCAAAGGGAAAAUCACUUACCCCCAUCGCCAUCUAAUUAGUGACAGACACCAAGCUGAUCCCAUUCAAGGGCUCUUGUUACUUCCCCCUUCUCCCCUCCGCCUCCCCUCUCCCCCCUUCCCACCCCCUCUCCACCCCCUUCCCACCCCCUUUUCUUCCUGGAGGAUUCAGAACAGCUCUGAGGCCGGAACGUGACUUCCUCGGAGACCCGACGGCGGUGGCAGUGGCGUGGGCGGGGACCUCCGGGAAGAUUGGAUCUCAUUAUGUUCCUCAGGCUGGUCGACCUCC